CCUACGGGGGGCAGCAGUGAGGAAUAUUGGUCAAUGGACGAGAGUCUGAACCAGCCAAGUAGCGUGAAGGAUGACUGCCCUAUGGGUUGUAAACUUCUUUUAUAUGGGAAUAAAAUGUUCCACGUGUGGGAUUUUGUAUGUACUAUAUGAAUAAGGAUCGGCUAACUCCGUGCCAGCAGCCGCGGUAAUACGGAGGAUCCGAGCGUUAUCCGGAUUUAUUGGGUUUAAAGGGAGCGUAGGUGGAUUGUUAAGUCAGUUGUGAAAGUUUGCGGCUCAACCGUAAAAUUGCAGUUGAUACUGGCAGUCUUGAGUACAGUAGAGGUGGGCGGAAUUCGUGGUGUAGCGGUGAAAUGCUUAGAUAUCACGAAGAACUCCGAUUGCGAAGGCAGUUCACUGAACUGCAACUGACACUGAGGCUCGAAAGUGUGGGUAUCAAACAGGAUUAGAUACCCCUGUAGUC
rnacentral:rRNA from 1 species